AUUGAACGCUGGCGGCAUGCCUUACACAUGCAAGUCGAACGGUAACAGGUCUUCGGAUGCUGACGAGUGGCGAACGGGUGAGUAAUACAUCGGAACGUGCCCGAGAGUGGGGGAUAACGAAGCGAAAGCUUUGCUAAUACCGCAUACGAUCUCAGGAUGAAAGCAGGGGACCGCAAGGCCUUGCGCUCACGGAGCGGCCGAUGGCAGAUUAGGUAGUUGGUGGGAUAAAAGCUUACCAAGCCGACGAUCUGUAGCUGGUCUGAGAGGACGACCGGCCACAAGGGGACUGAGACACGGCCCAGACUCCGACGGGAGGCAGCAGUGGGGAAUUUUGGACAAUGGGCGCAAGCCUGAUCCAGCAAUGCCGCGUGCAGGAAGAAGGCCUUCGGGUUGUAAACUGCUUUUGUACGGAACGAAACGGUCCUGGUUAAUACCCGGGGCUAAUGACGGUACCGUAAGAAUAAGCACCGGCUAACUACGUGCCAGCCGCCGCCGUUAACAC
rnacentral:rRNA from 1 species